CCCCUUCCUCACCUCAUCUUCCUCAUCAUCAUCGUCCUAACCUCCCUCACCCUCAUCUUCUUCAUCAUCUUCCUCUUCCUCUUUCACUUCCACUCCCCUCCCUCAUCUCCCUAUCUUCAUCCUCCCCCUCCUCCCCUUCCUCAUCCCCCCCCCUCUCAACUCCGCCCACGCUUGCUUUCAUCUCGACCAAUCAGAGCAUCCCCAGCGGGGCGAUGUCCUGGGUUGGGAGGGGGGGCAGAGUCGGGGGGCGGGGGGGCAGUACCACCACCACUGACUCCUGAGUACCAUCACCUCAAUUUGGAGUAUCUUUAUCAUAGUUUUACUUCUAAGUGUGACGCGAUUCCCGUUUAGUGACUUACUGUGUUUGUAUUUAUUUGAACCGAGCCGCGAGACUUUGUACCUCGACCAGUCAAAGAGCUACUAUAUGUGUAUGGCUUGGUUUAGUUAAACCACUGGUUUAGCUAACCACCAGGUAACCACUGGGUUAACUAGCCACUGGUCUAGCUAACCACUGGUUUAGCUAACCACUGGUCUAGCUAACCACUGGUCUACCAACUGCUUUAGCUAACCACUGGGUUAGCUAACAUCAGCGCGGCGGUGAGGCUAACUCCCGUUGUGGUCGUCAUGCCGACGGUCUGACCGCUGCUGGAGGAACCAACGCCUGCUCGUGUUGGAGCGACCGGUGGACGUGUGCCAUGCUGCUGCUUACUGCUCCUUUAAUCAACGCUUCGUAGCGCGCCGACGCAGACCGCAAGGAACAUGAUUCUGAAGUAAGAUGUCUUCUGUUUUUAGAGGCGACGCAUUGUAAAGCGUACGUUUUUAGGAUGAAUUUGGAUGUGCGGUUGUUAACAUUGCCUUUCUGUAUGGAGGUUGGUUGUGUGAAGGUGAUAUUCUAAUAAAAGAGUUGUUUGUUGACGCCGGCCGUGUCUGUGGUGGUGAGGGACUGAACGUGUGACCUUGAGGGGAGAAGGAAUGAAAUAAACUAGAUUUGUAAACAAAGAUAUAAAAGAUAAAUAAAAGAUGGUUGCCAUAAUAUUUUUUCCAAGCUCCAUUUUGGUAGUGUGUGUGUGUGUGUGUGUGUGUGUGUGUGUGUGUGUGUGUGUGUGUGUGUGUGUGUGUGUGUGUGUGUGUGUGUGUGUGUGUGUGUGUGUGUGUUUUUUGUUCUGCAACACUUUUUCAGACAGUUUUUCAUGAAUUCCUUCCACAGAAUCCAUCUGAAUAUCAAGUGAGUGACUAAACGUACAGUUGGUUUAGUGAGCUGCUGCUUUAUAAAUGUGAAAGGGCUCAACGUUUUAAUGAGCUCAACUUGUAAAUGUCUUCAGUCUCCGACUGUCCGCGAUAUUUCCGACCGAAAUCGAAUUUACAAUUCUAAUAUUUCAUACAAAAUGCAAAACCCUGUCGCUAUGCAUGUCUUACAUAGGUGAGAAUGUUUUCAUUUAUCAAUAAUCCAAUGGGAAUCAAUCAAACCGAUCAGAAACAUGAAAAUAUGACAAGAAACUCAACCCUGAUACUUUACUCAAUAGAUAAUUCUGCUUACGUAAACUGUGUCAUUUUGCUGUCAGGUAGGCGUGGGUGUGCACUGUGCUGCUUCUGAAAACAUCAUCACACCUCCGAUGUCAUAUCCGACUGUUUAACCUCCCUCCCAUCACCUCAUGUUCCAGCCAGAGGAGCAGUCACCACUAAAGCACGACAUCAUCGGACUUCAGCUCACAGCGCGGUUCUGAACGCUACACACUCUGACCUCAUGGGAGAAAACGGGCGAACCCUGGAGAGGUUGUAAUCUGAGGGAUUUUCUAAACUUCAUGGAAAUUAAGCAAGGGGAGACUGGGAGAGGAAGGGAUAGGCAGUAGGUGUGUGUGUGAGCUGUAGGUUCUCGUGCAGUAGGUGUGUGUGUGUGAGCGGUGGGUUCUCGUGCAGUAGGUGUGUGUGUGAGCUGUCUGUUCUCUUGAGGUAGGUGUGUGUGUGAGUGUCGGUCCUCGAGCAGUAGGUGUGUGGUGUGUGUGUGUGAGUGGUCGGUUCUCGAGCAGUAGGUGUGUGUGUGUGUGAGCUGUCGGUUCUCGAGCAGUAGGUGUGUGGUGUGUGUGUGUGUGUGUGAGCUGUCGGUUCUUGUAGAAGGCAUUAAUGUUUCGUCUCUGGCUUAGUAUUUGCAUAUCUUCACAGAAGCUCAUCUGCAUAUCAGUCUUAUUUCCUCCCUUUCCUCCAUGUGGGAGCAUGAAUAUUAAUACGGACACAAAGAACACUUUAUUCGUUUUACUUUUAUCAACAGUUGGAUGAUAAUAAUAGCUCAACAUGAAACAAAUUAUAUAUAGUUUGAAUAUAAAGGACCGGGGAGGGGUUGUAUAAGAGGAGAAUGCAGAAACAAUUCACUGAUUUAGUGUCUAGAUAAAGAGAGAAACUCCUUCAGUACUAACACACCAUGGAUUCAUUAUUUAUUUUUUUGCAGCAUAUUGGUGGUUCAAAAUAUGUCUAACCCAUCUGCUCCUGAAUGACUUGUCUCUGUAUUCACUGUCUAACCCCUACCUACUCCUUAAUUAUCUGUCUCUAUUCACUAUCAAACCCCUACCUGCUCCUGAAUGACUUGUCUCUGUAUUCACUGUCUAACCCCUACCUGCUCCAUAAUUAGUGGUCUUUAUUCAACGUCUAACACCCACCUGCCCUAUAUUACCUGUCACUGUAUUCACUGUCUAGGUCCGACCUUCUCCUAAAUUACCUGUCUCUGUAUUCCCUGUCCAACCCCUACCUACUCCUUAAUUAUCUGUCUCUAUUCACUAUCAAACCCCUACUUGCUCCCUAAUGACCUGUCUCUGUACUGUCUAACCCCUACCUGCUCCUUAAUGACCUGUCUCUGUACUGUCUAACCCCUACCUGCUCCUUAAUGACCUGUCUCUGUACUGUCUAACCCCUACCUGCUCCUAAAUGACCUCUCUGUACUGUCUAACCCCUACCUGCUCCUUAAUGACCUGUCUCUGUACUGCCUAACCCCUACCUGGUCCUUAAUGACCUGUCUCUGUACUGUCUAACCCCUACCUGCUCCUUAAUGACCUGUCUCUGUACUGUCUAACCCCUACCUGCUCCUUAAUGACCUGUCUCUGUACUGUCUAACCCCUACCUGCUCCCUUAAUGAUCAACCCUCUCUAUUAGCUUAUUUCCACAGCUGGAGUAUUUUCCGUACUUGAUUUGGAUUGGAUUGGUGUUACACUAUAAUGUUUGUUUACCACAAAAACUUGUUUUAAUUGGAUGCAAGCUCAAUUUUGCUUUGAACUCCUCCGAAAUGAUGUGGUAGACUGCGUGAGGAGGUGUCAUCCCAUCUGUGUUUCACU
ensembl:lncRNA